rnacentral:rRNA from 1 species
GACGAACGCUGGCGGCGUGCCUAACACAUGCAAGUCGAACGGAAAGGCCCUGCUUUUGCUGCGUGCUCGUGUGGCGAACGGGUGAGUAACACGCGAGUAACAUGCCCUUGACUUUGUGAUAACUCCAGGAAACUGGGGCUAAUACCGCAUAGGAGCUCCUGCUGCACGGUGGUGGUUGGAAAGUUUCGGGGGUUGUGUCUGGACUAGAGGGUUAUCAGCUUGAUGGGGGGGUUGUGGGUUUCCCAGGCUUUGAAGGGUACCCUGCCUGAGAGGGUGAGGGGCCACAUUGGGACUGAGAUACGGCACAGACUCCUACGGGAGGCAGCAGUGGGGAAUAUUGCACAAUGAGCGGAAGCCUGAUGCAGAAGGGCCGCGUGCGGGAUGACGGCCUUAGGGGUGUAAACCGAUUUCGCCUGUGACGAAGCGUGAGUGACGGUAAUGGGUAAAGAAGCACCGGCUAACUACGUG